GCUGGUUGGCGGCGUAAGCGCCGCCGCCCGCCUCAACCAAACCUGCCCGGCCCUGGAAUGUGCUUCAGCUCCUCCCAUUCCCCUGCCGCUUCAUGACGGCUGGGCUCACAGACUUGUAAAUAGAAACGGAACCCUGACAGUGAAGGAAUGUGUGCGUCUGCAGUUAUGGAAGGAUACUUGUGGAAUAUAGCCAUCUUCAGUUGUGACUGGAAAUGCCAUUUUUAAGCAUGAAUGAAGAUAGAAGGAACUUGAUAGUAUGUGUGCCUAGAUUCAGAAGAUGGAUCUUCUACCAGACAAAUACAGUCUUGCAAUUGCCUUGAUAUUGCCCCAGGAUAUGAUUUGGAGUAUAUCAGCCCUGAGAAGACAAUAUGGAACCAGAGGAUUCUGUUACACCAGUGGACUCUCACGCAGCAUGCUACGGCUGUUUGCUUCUCUUUUCCUCCCUUCUUUGCUCUGUCUUGCGCUCUACUUCCGAGGAGGCACCAAAUCGAACUCCGCACACCGAAUGCUCAAUUGGAAGGAUAGGGUAAGGCUUAGCCAUCUCUCUCUCUCUCUCUCUCUCUCUCUCUGGGCUCCCUCACCUCUU